rnacentral:rRNA from 1 species
AUGCCUCGCGCCGCGCCCGGGCUAGGGUUCCCCAUUGCCGCCGACCCAGCGCCCGAGCGCCGCCACCCUCCGUCCUCCCGGCGGAAGAAGCCGCCGCCGCGCCGAAGGCGCCCCGCACCGCCGCCUCCACCCGCGGUAAAAAACCUCUUCCCCCUAUCUAUCCCUCUUCCGCAUCGCGUCCGCAUUGCCGUCCCAGGCCGGCCGCUCGCCGGAUUAUUUUACUGCUGCGAGUCAAUAGAUCCAAUCCAGAGCACGCCGCCGCACAUGCGCGCCGCCGAGGCUCCCCAGUUGAACUUCGAAAGUCGAAACCCUCCGCGUAAACAAGGGAUAAGGCCAAAAGAAAUUCGAACGGGGCUACCGCGUCGCUUUUCUAUCAUUGCUGGCGCUUUUGUUCCGUUGCGUCGCCUUUUUUCCCGUCCGCUGUUCGGCGGUGACUGUGCCGUGCCCUGCUCGGUCGUGCUCCGCCCCGGAUUUCAGUUUGCUGAGAGGGACGCUCCCUUUGUUUGGCCCCUUUCGCAGCCGCCGGUGGGGCCACGCGGUGCAGCCGAUCCAGAUCCGGGCCUCCUCCACCACCUCCACCCCCGCGGCGGCAGCCACGCCACAGCUCCCAGAGACGAGGACGACGGCGACGAGGAGGAGGGGGGCUACGACGCGGCCGGCUUGGAGGAGGCGGCCGCCGGCGACUCCUUCUCCCACUCGCUGAAAGAGUGCCAGAAGCAGCUGCAGCUCAGGGCGGAGGCGCGGCCGGCGGCGGCCGCGCAUGAGCUCGGCAACGGCGACGCGUUCGGGGGGAUCGAGCUGCUCGUUCUCUCGCCCAGGUGCUUGCUCGGGGCUGCCGUGGGAGGGAUGAGCAAGAGCUCGACCGCGUCGUCCAGAAGCAGAUCAGGCACGUUUCCGAGCCCCGGGACGCCCAACUACCACCGGCAUUGCCCUGGCAACAUGCAGUACCCCAAGGGCUGGAGCUCGGAGCGGGUGCCGCUGGGGGCAGGUGCCAACAGGAGGUAUGGGGGCAGCGGGGUCGUGCUCCCUUUCAACAAUGGGAGGAAGCUGCCGUCGAAAUGGGAGGACGCCGAGAAGUGGAUCCUGAGCCCGGUCUCCUGUGAUGGGAUGGGGAGGAUGUCGGCACCGGCGCCGCAUCAUAGACGGCCAAAGUCCAAGAGUGGGCCGCUUGGUCACCCUGCCGGUGUUCCAGGAGCUUAUGCAUCUGUUUCGCCGAUGAUUCCCUGCUUCGAUGGUGUUCUGGCCGCCGCUAAUUUUGCGGCUCAUUCGCCUUUCUCUGCUGGGGUUCUCAUGCCAGGGCAUGCGCGCAACGGCGACUUCAGCAGUGGAAGAGCCAGAAGUGGGGAUGAUGGAAGCAGUAGGUCGUAUUCGGCUGAGAAGGAGCCCUAUAUUUGGAGAUCAGCAAGUACGCAUGCGUGGACAGAAACACUUAUGGAGGCAUCUGCCUUUGCUCAUAUCUCAGAGGAAGCUGCACAAGAUGAUGUCUUACAAGGUCCACAGGGAGCAACUCCUGUGAUUUCCAGUCCAAUCAUAAAGAAAGAUGUUGCCACACAAAUGAGUCCUGAUGACAGUAUAAUAUCGUCCUCCCCAAAAGCAAGGCAUUCCUGCUCCAGCUUGCCGUCAGGACAUGCUAUUAGAGAAUCAAAUAGUCAUACACCUAAGGUUGAAGUUAGGGAUGUGCAGGUAGAUGAUCAAGUAACUGUUACGCGGUGGUCCAAGCGACAUGUAACACGAGGCUCUGAUAAGCGAUCAACAAAUAUUGUUGAAUGGAGGAAGAAGACUACAGAAGCCCGGGCACCAUCUUUUGAUGAAAAAGAAAGAGAAAGAUGCAUAUCAAAGUGCAAGAGAGAGGAAGCAAAGAUCACUGCUUGGGAAAAUCUGCAGAAAGCAAAAGCAGAGGCAGCAAUUCGGAAGUUGGAGAUGAAGCUUGAAAAGAAAAGGUCACUAUCGAUGGAUAGAAUUUUGGGCAAACUACGUUCUGCUCAAAAGAAAGCAGAAGGCAUGCGCACUACAGUUUCUGUGAGCGAGGAUCAGUGUGCUGUCAGUGAAGAUCAGUGUGCUGUGAGGGCAACCAAGAAGGCAUCCUUGAGAAGGACUAGCAAGCCUUUCAGCUGCUGUUUCACCUACCAUGCUUGCUAG